CUCACUCUUUAAGAUGCUGGUGACAGACACUUAGCUGAGCGGCUAAGGCGAGGAACUGGUCCAAGUUGUUCAACAGGUUUCUUCUUCUAGAUUUGAAUCACAGAUUCAGAAUCACAGGCCAGGAAGGGACCCACCAUUAUUCACUCCAAUCGUGUAACAAUAGUAGCAUACCAUUUUUCCAUUGGUGCUCCAGAAUUCAGCUGCACAGCACCUUGCUAAACUUACAGUUAAGACAAAUUUGAUUUCACAAAGAAGACUUUCUCUUAAAGGCUAUAUGAAAUUAUGACUUACAUAUAUGAAGCACUCAUUGAAGAUUUGAAGCGCUCGCUGCACAUAUUUUAUAUUGCCUUAUCAUCUUUACAGUGAGCUUCAAUGCAUGCUGGUUUGACACCCACAUCAGCACAAUCCUAUACAAUGUACGGUAAGUCCCUCUGAGUUCUAUGCAGCUUAUUCCCAUGUUUCUGUUUAUAGGAUUGGAAAUUUAGGGUGCAACCCUACACUUGAGAUAUACAGAAUACUGGUUAUGGGGCUAUAGGUUAUAGUGGAAGCUCUGUUAUGUCCUACAGUACUGCGUAAUUGUAUAAUUUGCAUUCUUUGCUUCACCCAUUUUUGCCUCUUGCCCCGCUCACCCCCUCCAUCUUAAAAGGGUCCUGCUUUGGAGCAACCUAAGAGUACUGUGAAUAUGCCCAGAUGCCACCUAGGGUGACAAAUCCUGGAACAAAGGGCAUUAUAUCCUUUUGACCUUGCUCCGUCAUGCUCUGUGUAAGUGAUACAGUAUUCUAGAAGGAGAGCCAUAAUUACGGUUCUGGCCUCUUGAGCCAAUUGCGCCUUGGCAUACCUUCCAGCUCAUGUUUGGUGUACCCAUGCUAACCACAGCGAUCUAAACUGGGCCUGCAACGCCCACUUUUUACUUUUGCGGUUCUCUAGGAAAAUUCUAGGAAGCGCACACUGCAACCUUAGUGACUCUUGGUCAAUACAUAUAACCACAAGCUGUUGUUGCAAGGACAGGAGCAAGCAAGUGGGAUGCGAUGCAUAGAUAAAGGUGGAAGUAGAUUUUUAAUGGUGUUUUUAUUUAUUUGAAUUCUUUGAAAGUUAGAUUGUAAUGCAAUCAGCUACAGCAGAAGAAACAGAAGAAGGAAUAAAUAUUUAAUGUGACAGAUGUCUCACCUCCCAUCUUCAAACACAGAUUUACAGACAUGCUGUAGACCACAAAGCUCAUAGACCACUGGUGGUCCAUACGCCACAUUUUGGGAAUCCUUUAGGACUGCUAUACGUCCGAAUGUUCCUGGACAUUACUGGGAUUUCAAAGGCGGAAUAGAUGUCCAGCCCAACAAUUUUGAGCUCAACAACUUUUGGCAUGUCCUGGUUUUUACUUUUUGAAAUAUGACAACCCUAAAUCCUUAGACUAGGCAAUUAGAAAAAUAGUACAAGCUGCUUGCUCUGCACCCCCAUCCCCAUUUGCCAAUUGGGACAGGGCGGAUUUCUCUUGACCUCCACCUCCUCCCACAAUGCAGUUGUAGCAAAAUGCAGGCAGGCACCAUAAUGGCUCAGUCUGGGCAAUGACUGUUCAAUCUGUGGGACAACUGCCCCACCCCUGCCAUGGAUUCCUAUGCAAACAGUGUCCCCCCUCCCAUCAUAAUUAAUCACUAUUUUCUUACCCCUUAAGCAUAACAAUAAUCAAGUUACGAAUGCUGGACCAGGGCUAGUUCCACGCUAGUUGUGAAGAAAACAUAAUCCUGUUGCUCUGGAGAAAUCACAUGAAUUGUUUUAAGACAUCAAAAAAUCAGAUCAGCUAUGAAGCCUCACUUGUCCCAGACAUAGUGUGUAACAGACCAGGAUCUGAGCUAUAAAUCUCUUUGAUUUUUCAAGGUCUGUGUGUGGGAAAUCCUGCAAAAAGUAGGGAAUUGUUUCAUUUCUCCCAGGAUUAAUCAGCCCAUUUAGAAGGGACACACAUCUGGACUCACCAUGGAUGACAGAGGCCGGUACACACUCUGUAUUCUGGCCCAAUCAAAAUAAACACAAAUAUCUGGGUUCAAGCUAGGUCAGGAAAGAGAUCGAAACAGACAAAAAUGCCUCACCAAACAAAUCUAGAGAUAAGAUCAAGGUGUGAACAUAACAUUGUUAAAUAUUUUAAAGGGUGUCUGUCUGUAAGGGAUGUCUUAAAAGGUUAUUUAUACAUACUAAGACAGGUCAAGAUGACUUGAACACCCAGAUUAUCUUGAUUCCUUGUUAUUUUCUGAAAGCUGUCUUUUAUAUCUUUGUUCAUGUUGUUGUACCUGGAAAAUAUUAAUAAAAUUAAGUUGCAAAAGAAAGCUUUAACUGACAGGGCCAAUCUAGGUUAAACAUGAGGGAAAGUUUCCAAAUUAUACGAGCAGUUCAGCAAGAGAACAUGCUGCUCAAGGAGACUAGAGAAUCUCCAUCUUCAGAAUGGAACAGGAAGGCUUCUGAACACAUUCUCAAGGAAGACAUUUUCACCCUUAGAAGUGAGAAUUAGACAUGAGGAUUUUUUUUGUAAUUCUAUGGUUCAAGCCUUUGUAAACUUACCUGUGAGACAGCCCUGCUGGUUCUCACAUAAUCUGUUGUUUGUUUUAACCUAACUAUAGUUUGUUUGAUCAUCUAAAGCCAGUCCAGCAGACAAAUCAUGGUUUGUUUUCUUAUAGCAAACCACAAUGUGAAGCCAUGGUUUGUUUUAACUAUGGUUUGGUAUUAUAUCCGCUGGUCUGGCUUAACCAUGGUUUAUGUGGCCACAUCAGACCCUCAUCAAUAUACAAAAGCACAAUGCAAGAACUGCUGGAAAAGAAUGAAAGUUUUGGAGAAACAAUCCACUCCUUGUUUGUUUGUCUGUCAAAUGACUCGUGGUUUGUUGAGCAAGCCAUGGUUACAACAAUCCAUGGCUUAGUGUUUUGUGGCACAUGGCAAACAAAGCCAGUGCAACCUAUUUUGGAGGAAAAGUUUCACACCUAGGGUGUGCUCACAUUACUGCUUUAGAACACAGUGAAACUGUUCCCUGCACUUUCCCCUCAGCUGUUCACAGCACAGCUUCAAAGGGUUCACACCAGGGAACAUUGUGAGAGUACUUGUUUUUACCCAAUGCAAAGAUGUUCACACCUUGGCUAGAAACAAAUGGCUUAAGAGUUCCAAGUGUGAAGCUGGUUUGAGAAACAGCACACCAAAUAGCAGCAUUUUACAGUACACAUAUGAGUUUUGGAUAACAUCAAGCAAACACAGAUUUAAAAACAGGAAACCAAAAGAGUGCACACUAAACAGGGAUGUGAACACAGCCUUAGUGUUUGUAAUACUGUGAAGAGCUGGACUGCUGUAAACUAAGACUUAGGUCUGCACUUUGUCACAUGAUAGAGUCCUUUCAAACUCAAGCUUGGAAGCUGAAGAAAGUUUGGGCAUAUAUACUGAGGGGGGCACCAGUUAGCACCAAGCAAAUACCAAUCUUGAGCACAAACUAAUUCUAUAGUGCAAACAGUCUCAAUUUUUAAAAAAAAAGGUUUAGAAAUUUCUGUCAAUCUCACCAAAUCACUUCAUCUAUUGUAGUCCCUCUGGAGCUAAUAUAUUUAAAGCAAACAAAAAUGUUUUUCUUUGUCAUCUAGAGUUCAAAAUCUUUGGGCUGCAUUCAGAACACAAGGAAUCUGUAUCCUGAGCCCUGCAAUUCUUACAAGGCUGCAUUCUCAGAGCCAUCUUGUCAUGGCUGCUGAUCACAUUAAGCUCAGGGGAGGUCAUCUUUUGGCCAUGAUGAGUUCAAGCUAUGACAAAGGGAGAAGUGGAUUUGGGGAGGAAGAAACUGAAGGAAAGUCUCUUGACAGUUUCUGCUCAAAUUAUCUGUUCAGUAAGGAAAAGGAAACAUCUUUAAAAGUACUUAAGUACCAAGUGAGUGACCCUUCACUGCUGGAAUGCUGCCUCCCUAAUGAUGCGGAGAAGAAAAACAGCCAUUUCUGGCAGGCUUAGUCUCAUGCCAGAGGGGGGCGGGGGCGGGUUUUAAAAUGCCCGAUCAAAAUAAAUAUUGCUUGGAAAUCCUGGCAUAGGAAAUGUAACUGACAGCCAAGACUUAGCUCAUCCUGGGGGGGCAACCGAGGGAAGCCUGUACAUCUCAUCCCUCAUUCCAGUAUGUGGAGUAAUUGUCCCUGUAACUCAGCACUGUCUCUCUCUCUCCUCUUGUCCAGAUGUGUGGAUAUGGAUGUUUCUGUGUGCAAUGUGAAAAAAGAAACUGGGGAGAAUGUGCUCCAUCCUCUUGGGCAGUACUCAUGGUUCCCAAAAGAACAGUGUUCAAACAGAAGCAAGUUUUCAAUAUGCAGCCCGCAGAGUCUUAAAAAAUUAAUUACGUCCUAAAUUGUGCUGUGUGUCUGUGAUGUGUCUUCAGAGAAAAACACUGAAGAGAGAUAAAGAAGGUAUGGGAAACAUGACAGAUCAGAGAGGAUCAGUAAAAGUAAGAUGUGGCAAGAUGGGAAGGGUACCAAGGAAGGGGGAGAAGGACCUCCUUUUCUCUAAACACCUAAUAACUUCCAAAAUCUCUGUUUCAUAUGCUCCAAAAAACCACUUUGACAGCAGUGCUUGGGCUAAUACAAAAAUGUCAAUUCUAUGGUUUUUGUCCUUUUAAAAUGUAAGUGAUCUCUUAUGUCAUAUAUAUUAUUGAGAGUAGUUAAAGAAAGGUGUUUGUUUUCCCUUUCCCUUGUAGGCUGAUUUGCAGCUGCAGACAUCUUCAACAAGGUUAUAGUGUUAUCUGGACAAAAUGGAAAGGCCUGGAGGUUUUAGAGCGUUAACCACGGCUAGGGGAGAGAAGAUGAGAAGCAGAUGAUUCAGUUACACAGGAGAGGAAAACAAAUAAAAUUUAAACCAACCUGAGGACUUUUAAAAAAUGGGUCUCCAUAUGAUGAUAAGCAAUGAGAGGCUU